UACGUAGGGGGCAAGCGUUGUUCGGAAUUACUGGGCGUAAAGGGCGCGUAGGCGGCACGGCAAGUCGGGAGUGAAAGGCCUGGGCUCAACCGAGGAACUGCUUUCGAGACUGCCGAGCUAGAGUGCGGAAGGGGCAACUGGAAUUCCCAGUGUAGCGGUGAAAUGCGUAGAGAUGUGGAGGAACACCAGUGGCGAAGGCGACUUUCUGGGCUGUAACUGACGCUGAGGCGCGAAAGCGUGGGGAGCAAACAGG
rnacentral:rRNA from 1 species